GUAGGUGAACCUGCGGAGGGAUCAUUACAGAGAACAUCGCCCGCAAGGGUGACUCUCCAACCCUAUGUUAAUUAUACCUUUGUUGCUUUGGCGAGCCGCUUCGGCCACCGGCCUCGUGCUGGUGAGCGCUCGCCAGAGGACCCUAAACUCUGUUUAUUAGUGUCGUCUGAGUACUAUAUAAUAGUUAAAACUUUCAACAACGGAUCUCUUGGUUCUG
rnacentral:misc_RNA from 1 species